rnacentral:rRNA from 1 species
UACGUAGGGGGCAAGCGUUGUCCGGAAUCAUUGGGCGUAAAGAGCGUGUAGGCGGUUCAGUAAGUCUGCUGUGAAAGUCCAAGGCUCAACCUUGGGAUGCCGGUGGAGUACUGCUGAGCUAGAGUACGGAAGAGGCGAGUGGAAUUCCUGGUGUAGCGGUGAAAUGCGCAGAUAUCAGGAGGAACACCGAUGGCGAAGGCAGGAUCUCUGGGCAUUAACUGACGCUGAGGAGCGAAAGCAUGGGGAGCGAACAGG